GGGGCUAUAGCUCAGUGGUAGAGCGCCUGCUUCACACUCAUGAGGCACUGGGUUCGAUCCUUAGUACCA
rnacentral:tRNA from 1 species